rnacentral:misc_RNA from 1 species
GAUGAAGAACGCAGCGAAAUGCGAUACGUAAUGUGAAUUGCAGAAUUCAGUGAAUCAUCGAAUCUUUGAACGCACCUUGCGCCCUUUGGCUAUUCCAGAGGGCAUGCCUGUUUGAGUAUCAUGAACACCUCAACUCUCAUGGUUCUGCCAUGAUGAGCUUGGACUUUGGAGGUCUUGCUGGCCCCUGUGGUCAGCUCCUCUCAAAUGGAUCAGCUUGCCAGUGUUUGGUGGCAUCACAGGUGUGAUAACUAUCUACGCUUGUGGUUUUCCACCAGGUAACCUUCAGUGAUGGAGGUUCGCUGGAGCUCAUAAACGUCUCUCCUCAGCGAGGACAGCUUCUUGAACGUUUGAUCUCAAAUCAGGUAGGGCUACCCGCUGAACUUAAGCAUAUCAAUAAGCGGAGGA